rnacentral:rRNA from 1 species
AUGCAACGCGAAGAACCUUACCUGGUCUUGACAUCCCGGAGACCCUUAGGAACUAGGGGGUGGCUUCCAUCUGGAAGAAUCUGGAGACAGGUGGCUGCAUGGCUGUCGUCAGCUCGUGUCGUGAGAUGUUGGGUUAAGUCCCGCAACGAGCGCAACCCUUGCCUUUAGUUGCCAGCAGUUCGGCUGGGCACUCUAAAGGGACUGCCGGUGUUAAACCGGAGGAAGGUGGGGAUGACGUCAAGUCCUCAUGGCCUUUAUGACCAGGGCUACACACGUACUACAAUGGCCGAUACAAAGGGCAGCGACACUGCGAGGUGAAGCCAAUCCCGUAAAAUCGGUCUCAGUCCGGAUUGGAGUCUGCAACUCGACUCCAUGAAGUUGGAAUCGCUAGUAAUCGUGGAUCAGCAUGCCACGGUGAAUACGUUCCCGGGCCUU